GACGAACGCUGGCGGCGUGCUUAACACAUGCAAGUCGAACGGAAAGGCCCUGCUUUUGUGGGGUGCUCGAGUGGCGAACGGGUGAGUAACACGUGAGUAACCUGCCCUUGACUUUGGGAUAACUUCAGGAAACUGGGGCUAAUACCGGAUAGGAGCUCCUGCUGCAUGGUGGGGGUUGGAAAGUUUCGGCGGUUGGGGAUGGACUCGCGGCUUAUCAGCUUGUUGGUGGGGUAGUGGCUUACCAAGGCUUUGACGGGUAGCCGGCCUGAGAGGGUGACCGGCGACAUGGGUCCUGAGAUACGGCCCAGAGUGCAACGGGAGGCAGCAGUGGGGAAUAUUGCACAAUGGGCGGAAGCCUGAGGCAGAAACGCCGCGUGCGGGAUGAAGGUCUUCGGGUUGUAAACCGCUUUCGCCUGAGACGAAGCGUGAGUGACGGUAAUGGGUAAAGAAGCACCGGCUAACUACGUG
rnacentral:rRNA from 1 species